rnacentral:rRNA from 1 species
UACGUAGGUGGCAAGCGUUGUCCGGAUUUACUGGGCGUAAAGGGCGUGCAGGCGGUCUGUUAAGUGCAGGGUGAAAGCUCCCGGCUCAACUGGGAGAGGUCCUUGCAUACUGGCGGACUUGAGGGGGGUAGAGGAAAGUGGAAUUCCCGGUGUAGUGGUGAUAUGCGUAGAUAUCGGGAGGAACACCUGUGGCGAAGGCGGCUUUCUGGGCCAUACCUGACGCUGAGACGCGAAAGCGUGGGGAGCGAACCGG